rnacentral:misc_RNA from 1 species
AAGACUAUAGACCUGCGGAGUACCUGCGGAAGGAUCAUUAUCGUAUUGUAACAAUUGGGGGGGCCACCGUGGGCUGUCGCUGACCCUUUGAAAGGGGGGUCGUGCACGCCCCCAUAGUGUCAUCCUCAUACAAUCCAACUCACCUCUGUGCAUCACCGCGUGGGUUCCUUUCUGGGUCGAGUCAGACUGGCUCAGAAAAAAGGGGCUUGCGUUUUCCAUACAAAUACCCUUAUAAAUUCA